rnacentral:tRNA from 1 species
UCCCUGGUGGCCCAGUGGUUGGGACUUUGCCUUCCAAGGCAGAGGGUGCAGGUUAGACUCCUGAUCAGGGAG